rnacentral:misc_RNA from 1 species
GUUGUCUGCUCUGUAAUGCCGCAGUGCCUGAACGAAAUUUGCUGAAAAGUGCUGUAUUAAAUUUGUGAACAUUCAAUGUGAAUCGCGAAGAACUGCCCCAGAAUCCUAAUCUUGAAGUAUCAGGAGUGUAUUUGAAGAAAAAUAUUCUUCAGUCUGUAAGGCAACUGUUUGGCGAAG